UAAUAGAAAUGCACAGAGCUGGAGCAAUUGCAUUUCACUUGAUCGACAGAACCUGGAGACCUUAGCUGUUUAGGCAGCCUGCUUGCUCAACAGAGAUCUUUUCCUGAUCCUUCUUAGUGUUGGGGGCAAAGAGACAGACAGAAAGAAAAGGAAUUGUUUGCUGUGGAACUGGAGAAGCGGCGCAGUUGGUUCUGGCAGUGAGGGGGUUGACUGACAGUCUGCAGUGCAGUGGAGUUAGCUGGGCUCCCUAUAUGGCUGUGGAUUAGCUAUAUGCUAAUACCGAUAGGAGAAGAGGAGCUGUACCGAGCACAGCAAGCUGCCAGUGGAGGCAAUCAGAGUCUUAGCAGAGCUGACUCCUCAAGAGCCAUGGCUGAAGGGGGUGAAGGAGGGGAAGAUGAAAUACAGUUCCUGCGAACUACCAAAACUCUUUCAUCCAGGAUUGGAAUCACCUAUUGAAUGUUCCACAGACUUUCUUCAGAAUAGAAUCUUCUACUGAAUACAUCCAUCUAAAUCAGAAAAUUGGACCUACAGUCUUUUUUUUUUUUCUGAGUGUGUAGGAGCCCAGUGCGCUGGGGCCACUGUGCACUAGAAGUGUCUCCUUUAGGAUGACACAUAAAACAGAAGAUCAGAUCAUGUGUGAGCCUUAAAUAUUGUAUGGCAUUUAAAGAGCAGCUGUUUUAACUCUGUUGGUCGAGCAAAAUUCCAUUUUGCUUUUGUAAAGCAGAAUCCCCCAUGUUUUUCAAUUGAUAUGGUAUUCUUCACUUCCAGACAAUCUGUUCUGUAGUUUAGCUGUGUAUCGUUUUAAGACUACAACCUUCCCACACAGAAGUGGCUGCAUUUCAAUAAUGGGUGAAGUAAUAUCUGUAUUCAUUUCUAA